rnacentral:rRNA from 1 species
GACGAACGCUGGCGGCGUGCCUAAUACAUGCAAGUUGAACGCUGAAGGUUGAUCUUUCUCUUCUGUAUGAGUUGCGAACGCGUGAGUAUCGCGUAGGUAACCUGCCUGUUAGCGGGGGAUAACUCUUGGAAACGCUAGCUAAUACCGCAUAUCAGUAGAUGUUGCAUGACUUUUACUUAUAAGGUGCACUUUCAUCUCUACCAGAUGUCCUUGCGUUGUAUUAGCUAGUUGGUGUGGUAACGGCUCACCAAGGCGACGAUACAUAGCCGACCUGAGAGGGUGAUCGGCCACACUGGGACUGAGACACGGCCCAGACUCCUACGGGAGGCAGCAGUAGGGAAUCUUCGGAAAUGGACGGAAGUCUGACCGAGCAACGCCGCGGGAGUGAAGAAGGUUGUCGGAUCGUAAAGCUCUGUUGGAAGAGAAGAACGAGGGUGAGAGUGGAAAGUUCACAAUGUGACGGUAACUGACCAGAAAGGGACGGCUAACUACGUG